ACAUGAACAGGAUCCGACCACUGUCUUGUGGACGUGAAGUAACUUUUGAGUGAUGUCGAACAUGACAGCCAGCCCACUUCCAUCAGCAUACAGAGUCCCAGGGACCCCUGGAAUGCUUCCCACUGAGCGUCCUUCUUCCCGACCCACCUCUAGGUUACUGCUUUGCAGCAAAGUGGUGUUUGAAGAAUCUAUGAGACCUCCUCUGUGAACCCCAGAUCCAGGAAGUUGUGGAAAGAUACUGGAAAGUACAAAAGAAGAACUCAAGCAAAGCUUCCACAUCGAUGUAGUAAUCCUGCUACCGGAGAGGUGGCAACAACAGAGAAGCCCGAUUUCUGAGGCCAUGAUGUUUUCUAGGUAGAAAAGACCUCUGCUGUGCUGCGAGUUCAUUUUAGCUGACAUAGCAAAAGCAAGGUUUUUGCUGUUUCUCCGUAAAG
rnacentral:lncRNA from 1 species